rnacentral:rRNA from 1 species
CGGCGGACGGGUGAGUAACGCGUGGGUAACCUGCCUUAUACAGGGGGAUAACAGUUAGAAAUGGCUGCUAAUACCGCAUAAGCGCACAGUACCGCAUGGUAGUGUGUGAAAACUCCGGUGGUACGGGAUGGACCCGCGUCUGAUUAGCUGGUUGGCGGGGUAACGGCCCACCAAGGCGACGAUCAGUAGCCGGCCUGAGAGGGUGGACGGCCACAUUGGGACUGAGACACGGCCCAGACUCCUACGGAAGGCAGCAG